UACGUAGGGUGCAAGCGUUAAUCGGAAUUACUGGGCGUAAAGCGUGCGCAGGCGGUUAUGCAAGACAGAGGUGAAAUCCCCGGGCUCAACCUGGGAACUGCCUUGUGACUGCAUGGCUAGAGUACGGUAGAGGGGGAUGGAAUUCCGCGUGUAGCAGUGAAAUGCGUAGAUAUGCGGAGGAACACCGAUGGCGAAGGCAAUCCCCUGGACCUGUACUGACGCUCAUGCACGAAAGCGUGGGGAGCAAACAGG
rnacentral:rRNA from 1 species